UCUUGGUCUUGUUUCAUUGGCUGUGGCAGA
rnacentral:piRNA from 1 species